UACGUAGGGUGCAAGCGUUGUCCGGAAUUAUUGGGCGUAAAGGGCUCGUAGGCGGUCUGUUGCGUCGGGAGUGAAAACUUACAGCUUAACUGUGAGCGUGCUUUCGAUACGGGCAGACUUGAGGCAUUCAGGGGAGAACGGAAUUCCUGGUGUAGCGGUGGAAUGCGCAGAUAUCAGGAGGAACACCAAUAGCGAAGGCAGCUCGCUGGGACGUGACUGACACUAAGGCGCGAAAGCGUGGGGAGCGAACAGG
rnacentral:rRNA from 1 species